rnacentral:rRNA from 1 species
AGCGAACGCUGGCGGCAUGCCUAACACAUGCAAGUCGAACGAACCUUUCGGGGUUAGUGGCGGACGGGUGAGUAACACGUGGGAACGUGCCUUUAGGUUCGGAAUAACUCAGGGAAACUUGUGCUAAUACCGAAUGUGCCCUUCGGGGGAAAGAUUAAUCGCCUUUAGAGCGGCCCGCGUCUGAUUAGCUAGUUGGUUGAGGUAAUGGCGCACCAAGGCGACGAUCAGUAGCUGGUCUGAGAGGAUGAUCAGCCACAUUGGGACUGAGACACGGCCCAAACUCCUACGGGAGGCAGCAGUGGGGAAUCUUGCGCAAUGGGCGAAAGCCUGACGCAGCCAUGCCGCGUGAAUGAUGAAGGUCUUAGGAUUGUAAAAUUCUUUCACCGGGGACGAUAAUGACGGUACCCGGAGAAGAAGCCCCGGCUAACUUCGUG